UUUAGAAACUCUAGAUAUGGGUUGGACUGACAGUUUUCUAGGCUGGAUGACAGAUUCUGACUUCUCCGUUGUUGCUACCAUUGGAACUCGAAAAUGACACUUUUAAAUCUUGGACUUCCAUGAAAGUUUUAGGCCCAUGUCUUAUCUUUCCAUC
rnacentral:pre_miRNA from 1 species